rnacentral:rRNA from 1 species
GACGAACGCUGGCGGUGUGCUUAACACAUGCAAGUCGAGCGGUAAGGCCCUUUCGGGGGUACACGAGCGGCGAACGGGUGAGUAACACGUGGGUGACCUGCCCUCAGCUCUGGGAUAAGCCCGGGAAACUGGGUCUAAUACCGGAUAUGACUCCAUGACGCAUGUUGUGGGGUGGAAAGCCUUGUGCGGCUGAGGAUGGGCCCGCGGCCUAUCAGCUUGUUGGUGGGGUGAUGGCCACCAAGGCGACGACGGGUAGCCGGCCUGAGAGGGCGACCGGCCACACUGGGACUGAGAUACGGCCCAGACUCCUACGGGAGGCAGCAGUGGGGAAUCUUGCGCAAUGGGCGAAAGCCUGACGCAGCGACGCCGCGUGAGGGAUGACGGCCU